CACCAGGUCAGGACACGGUAAGGAUUGACGGACUGAAGGCUCUUUCUCGAUUCCGUGGAAAGUGGUGCAUGGCCGUUUUGGUUGGUGGAUCGAUCCGUCUGGUUAAUUCCGUUAACGAACGAGACCUCGGCACUCCGAAUAGCGCGGCGGACGUCGCGGCCUCCGGGCCGUCUUCCGCACGAGCUUCUUAGAGGGACCGUCCCCCGCCGGGGAAGGAGGUGCGAGGCAACGACAGGUCUGUGAUGCCCUUAGAUGUUCUGGGCCGCACGCGCAUUACACUGACGCGUCCAACGGGUGACUCCCGACCCGAAGGGGCCGGGGAAUCCGCAAGGCGCGUCGUGAUGGGGAUUGAACGUUGCAAUUGUUGUUCACGAACGAGGAAUUCCUAGUAGGCGCGGGUCAUC
rnacentral:rRNA from 1 species